CGCAUCUGUGCAUGCAGCAUAUCAAUAAGCGGAGGAAAAGAAACUAACAAGGAUUCCCCUAGUAACGGCGAGUGAAGCGGGAAGAGCUCAAAUUUGAAAUCUUAAAGGGUUUCUCUUUACGAAUUGUAGUUUAAAGAAGUGUUUUCUGUUGAGGUUUUGGUAAAAGUUCUUUGGAAUAGGACAUCAUAGAGGGUGAGAAUCCCGUAUUUGACCUUUACUUUCAACUUUGUGAUACACUUUCAAAGAGUCGGAUUGUUUGGGAAUGCAGUCCAAAAUGGGUGGUAAAUUUCAUCUAAAGCUAAAUAUUGGCGAGAGACCGAUAGCGAACAAGUACCGUGAGGGAAAGAUGAAAAGAACUUUGAAAAGAGAGUUAAACAGUACGUGAAAUUGUCAAAAGGGAAGCGUUUGACACCAGUGUUGUUUUUCUGAAAAUCAAUUAAAGAACUGUUUAUGCUAAGCUGUUUAGACUUUAUCAGCUAUCUGUUUAGUUUUGAGCUUUUCUUUAAUGCACUUUUCAGUUAACAAGUCAACAUCAAUUUCUUUUGCUGUAAAAAAGCUUGAGGAAGGUGGCUUGAGAUUCGUCUUAAGUGUUUAUAGCCUCUUGCCUAUGCAGUCGGAGAGAUUGAGGUCCGCAGCGUAGAUCCUUCGGGGCUAAAUGCAUUUGUGCUAAGUUAUAGCAUUUUAUAGACAACUUGUUGACUAUGAUUUGUCUUGUAGCUUACUCGCUUAUGUUAUUUUACCUACGCUUAGGAUGUUGAAUCUGUGCGAGACUAC
rnacentral:rRNA from 1 species